rnacentral:rRNA from 1 species
UCGGAAGGCAGCAGUGGGGAAUAUUGCACAAUGGGCGCAAGCCUGAUGCAGCCAUGCCGCGUGUAUGAAGAAGGCCUUCGGGUUGUAAAGUACUUUCAGUCGUGAGGAAGGUGUUAAGGUUAAUAACCUUAGCAAUUGACGUUAGCGACAGAAGAAGCACCGGCUAACUCCGUGCCAGCAGCCGCGGUAAUACGGAGGGUGCGAGCGUUAAUCGGAAUUACUGGGCGUAAAGGGCACGCAGGCGGUUAAUUAAGUUGGAUGUGAAAUCCCCGGGCUUAACCUGGGAAUGGCAUUCAAGACUGGUUAGCUAGAGUCUUGUAGAGGGGGUAGAAUUCCAUGUGUAGCGGUGAAAUGCGUAGAGAUGUGGAGGAAUACCGGUGGCGAAGGCGGCCCCUGGACAAAGACUGACGCUCAUGUGCGAAAGCGUGGGGAGCGAAACAGGGAUUAGAUACC